rnacentral:rRNA from 6 species
AAGGUUAAGCCUCACGGUUCAUUAGUACCGGUUAGCUCAACGCAUCGCUGCGCUUACACACCCGGCCUAUCAACGUCGUCGUCUUCAACGUUCCUUCAGGACCCUUAAAGGGUCAGGGAGAACUCAUCUCGGGGCAAGUUUCGUGCUUAGAUGCUUUCAGCACUUAUCUCUUCCGCAUUUAGCUACCGGGCAGUGCCAUUGGCAUGACAACCCGAACACCAGUGAUGCGUCCACUCCGGUCCUCUCGUACUAGGAGCAGCCCCCCUCAGUUCUCCAGCGCCCACGGCAGAUAGGGACCGAACUGUCUCACGACGUUCUAAACCCAGCUCGCGUACCACUUUAAAUGGCGAACAGCCAUACCCUUGGGACCUACUUCAGCCCCAGGAUGUGAUGAGCCGACAUCGAGGUGCCAAACACCGCCGUCGAUAUGAACUCUUGGGCGGUAUCAGCCUGUUAUCCCCGGAGUACCUUUUAUCCGUUGAGCGAUGGCCCUUCCAUUCAGAACCACCGGAUCACUAUGACCUGCUUUCGCACCUGCUCGCGCCGUCACGCUCGCAGUCAAGCUGGCUUAUGCCAUUGCACUAACCUCCUGAUGUCCGACCAGGAUUAGCCAACCUUCGUGCUCCUCCGUUACUCUUUAGGAGGAGACCGCCCCAGUCAAACUACCCACCAGACACUGUCCGCAACCCGGAUCACGGGUCCACGUUAGAACAUCAAACAUUAAAGGGUGGUAUUUCAAGGUCGGCUCCAUGCAGACUGGCGUCCACACUUCAAAGCCUCCCACCUAUCCUACACAUCAAGGCUCAAUGUUCAGUGUCAAGCUAUAGUAAAGGUUCACGGGGUCUUUCCGUCUUGCCGCGGGUACACUGCAUCUUCACAGCGAGUUCAAUUUCACUGAGUCUCGGGUGGAGACAGCCUGGCCAUCAUUACGCCAUUCGUGCAGGUCGGAACUUACCCGACAAGGAAUUUCGCUACCUUAGGACCGUUAUAGUUACGGCCGCCGUUUACCGGGGCUUCGAUCAAGAGCUUCGCUUGCGCUAACCCCAUCAAUUAACCUUCCGGCACCGGGCAGGCGUCACACCGUAUACGUCCACUUUCGUGUUUGCACAGUGCUGUGUUUUUAAUAAACAGUUGCAGCCAGCUGGUAUCUUCGACUGAUUUCAGCUCCACGAGCAAGUCGCUUCACCUACGUAUCAGCGUGCCUUCUCCCGAAGUUACGGCACCAUUUUGCCUAGUUCCUUCACCCGAGUUCUCUCAAGCGCCUUGGUAUUCUCUACCUGACCACCUGUGUCGGUUUGGGGUACGAUUUGAUGUUACCUGAUGCUUAGAGGCUUUUCCUGGAAGCAGGGCAUUUGUUGCUUCAGCACCGUAGUGCCUCGUCAUCACGCCUCGGCCUUGAUUUUCCGGAUUUGCCUGGAAAACCAGCCUACACGCUUAAACCGGGACAACCGUCGCCCGGCCAACAUAGCCUUCUCCGUCCCCCCUUCGCAGUAACACCAAGUACAGGAAUAUUAACCUGUUUCCCAUCGACUACGCCUUUCGGCCUCGCCUUAGGGGUCGACUCACCCUGCCCCGAUUAACGUUGGACAGGAACCCUUGGUCUUCCGGCGAGCGGGCUUUUCACCCGCUUUAUCGUUACUUAUGUCAGCAUUCGCACUUCUGAUACCUCCAGCAUACCUCACAGCACACCUUCACAGGCUUACAGAACGCUCCCCUACCCAACAACGCAUAAGCGUCGCUGCCGCAGCUUCGGUGCAUGGUUUAGCCCCGUUACAUCUUCCGCGCAGGCCGACUCGACCAGUGAGCUAUUACGCUUUCUUUAAAUGAUGGCUGCUUCUAAGCCAACAUCCUGGCUGUCUGGGCCUUCCCACAUCGUUUCCCACUUAACCAUGACUUUGGGACCUUAGCUGGCGGUCUGGGUUGUUUCCCUCUUCACGACGGACGUUAGCACCCGCCGUGUGUCUCCCGUGAUAACAUUCUCCGGUAUUCGCAGUUUGCAUCGGGUUGGUAAGUCGGGAUGACCCCCUUGCCGAAACAGUGCUCUACCCCCGGAGAUGAAUUCACGAGGCGCUACCUAAAUAGCUUUCGGGGAGAACCAGCUAUCUCCCGGUUUGAUUGGCCUUUCACCCCCAGCCACAAGUCAUCCGCUAAUUUUUCAACAUUAGUCGGUUCGGUCCUCCAGUUAGUGUUACCCAACCUUCAACCUGCCCAUGGCUAGAUCACCGGGUUUCGGGUCUAUACCCUGCAACUUAACGCCCAGUUAAGACUCGGUUUCCCUUCGGCUCCCCUAUUCGGUUAACCUUGCUACAGAAUAUAAGUCGCUGACCCAUUAUACAAAAGGUACGCAGUCACACGCCUAAGCGUGCUCCCACUGCUUGUACGUACACGGUUUCAGGUUCUUUUUCACUCCCCUCGCCGGGGUUCUUUUCGCCUUUCCCUCACGGUACUGGUUCACUAUCGGUCAGUCAGGAGUAUUUAGCCUUGGAGGAUGGUCCCCCCAUAUUCAGACAGGAUACCACGUGUCCCGCCCUACUCAUCGAGCUCACAGUAUGUGCAUUUUUGUGUACGGGGCUGUCACCCUGUAUCGCACGCCUUUCCAGACGCUUCCACUAACACACACACUGAUUCAGGCUCUGGGCUGCUCCCCGUUCGCUCGCCGCUACUGGGGGAAUCUCGGUUGAUUUCUUUUCCUCGGGGUACUUAGAUGUUUCAGUUCCCCCGGUUCGCCUCAUUAACCUAUGGAUUCAGUUAAUGAUAGUGUGACGAAUCACACUGGGUUUCCCCAUUCGGAAAUCGCCGGUUAUAACGGUUCAUAUCACCUUACCGACGCUUAUCGCAGAUUAGCACGUCCUUCAUCGCCUCUGACUGCCAGGGCAUCCACCGUGUACGCUUAGUCGCUUAA